AUUGAACGCUGGCGGCAUGCCUUACACAUGCAAGUCGAACGGCAGCACGGGUGCUUGCACCUGGUGGCGAGUGGCGAACGGGUGAGUAAUACAUCGGAACGUACCUUAUCGUGGGGGAUAACGCAGCGAAAGCUGUGCUAAUACCGCAUACGCCCUGAGGGGGAAAGCAGGGGAUCUUCGGACCUUGCGCUAAUAGAUGAGCCUAAGUCAGAUUAGCUAGUUGGUGGGGUAAAGGCCUACCAAGGCGACGAUCUGUAGCGGGUCUGAGAGGAUGAUCCGCCACACUGGGACUGAGACACGGCCCAGACUCCUACGGGAGGCAGCAGUGAGGAAUAUUGGACAAUGGGCGCAAGCCUGAUCCAGCCAUGCCGCGUGUGUGAAGAAGGUCUUCGGAUUGUAAAGCACUUUAAGUUGGGAGGAAGGGCAGUAAGUUAAUACCUUGCUGUUUUGACGUUACCGACAGAAUAAGCACCGGCUAACUUCGUG
rnacentral:rRNA from 1 species